rnacentral:rRNA from 1 species
GACGAACGCUGGCGGCGUGCUUAACACAUGCAAGUCGAACGGAAAGGCCUGCUUUCCCUUGUGGAUUGCGGGUACUCGAGUGGCGAACGGGUGAGUAACACGUGAGUGAUCUGCCCCCAACUUGGGUAUAAGCCUGGGAAACUGGGUCUAAUUCCCGAUAGGACUGCAGGGUGGUGCCUGUGGUGGAAAACGAUUUUCUAGUGGUUGGGGAUGAGCUCGCGGCCUAUCAGCUUGUUGGUGGGGUAAUGGCCUACCAAGGCGGCGACGGGUAGCCGGCCUGAGAGGGGGGACGGGCACAUUGGGACUGAGCGACGGCACAGAAUCCGACGCGAGGCAGCAGCGGGGAAGAUUGGAAAAUGGGCGGAAGCCUGAUGCAGCGACGCAGCGUGGGGGAUGCCGGCCUUCGGGUUGUAAACUCCUUUCGACCGCGAGGAAGCCACCUGGUUGGGAGGGUGGUGACGGUAGUGGUAGAAGAAGCACCGGCUAACUACGUG